GAUGAACGCUGGCGGCGUGCCUAAUACAUGCAAGUCGAGCGAAGCGGGGACGGGUGAGUAACACGUGGAUAACCUCCUAUAAGACUGGGAUAACUUCGGGAAACCGGAGCUAAUCCGGAUAAUUAUCGAUGGAUCGUGGCUGCAUUAGCUAGUUGGUAAGGUAACGGCUUACCAAGUCAACGAUGCAUCGCCGACCGGAGAGGGUGAUCGGCCAAACUGGAACGUGGACACGGUCCAGACUCCUACGGGAGGCAGCAGUAGGGAAUCUGCCGCAAUGGGCGAAAGCCUGACGGAGCAACGCGGCGUGAGUGAUGAAGGUCUUAGGAUCGUAAAACUCUGUUAUUAGGGAAGCGGUACCUAAUCAGAAAGCCACGGCUAACUACGUGCCAGCAGCCGCGGUAAUUC
rnacentral:rRNA from 1 species